GAUGAACGCUAGCGGCAGGCCUAAUACAUGCAAGUCGAGGGUAGAGUUAGCUUGCUAACUUGAGACCGGCGCACGGGUGCGUAACGCGUAUGCAACCUACCUUUAUCUGGGGGAUAGCCCGAAGAAAUUCGGAUUAACACCGCAUAAAAUCACAGUAUCGCAUGAUACAAUGAUCAAAUAUUUAUAGGAUAAAGAUGGGCAUGCGUGUCAUUAGUUAGUUGGCGGGGUAACGGCCCACCAAGACCACGAUGACUAGGGGAUCUGACGAGGAUGACCCCCCACACUGGUACUGAGACACGGACCAGACUCCUACGGGAGGCAGCAGUAAGGAAUAUUGGUCAAUGGAGGCAACUCUGAACCAGCCAUGCCGCGUGCAGGAAGACGGCCCUCUGGGUUGUAAACUGCUUUUAUAUGGGAGCAAUAAGGUCUACGUGUAGACUGAUGAGAGUACCAUAUGAAUAAGCAUCGGCUAACUCCUUG
rnacentral:rRNA from 1 species